rnacentral:rRNA from 1 species
UACGAAGGGUGCAAGCGUUACUCGGAAUCACUGGGCGUAAAGCGUGCGUGGAGCGGUUCGUUAAGUCUGCUGUGAAAGCCCCGGGCUCAACCCGGGAAGUGCACUCGAUACUGUCGAGCUAGAGUAUCGGAGAGGUUGGUGGAAUUCUCGGUGUAGAGGUGAAAUUCGUAGAUAUCGAGAGGAACACCGGUGGCGAAGGCGGCCAACUGGACGAAUACUGACGCUGAGACUCGAAAGCGUGGGGAGCAAACAGG